rnacentral:snoRNA from 1 species
GCAGACUCACUCUGUACCGAACUGCAAUCUUCAGUUCAGGUGCUUUUUCUGUCUGCGAGAGUAAUCACUCACAGGCAUGAUGAAGGCCUUCUUUCUUGCAGAAGGCUGUUACAAUUGCUACUGGGACACUGCU